GACGAACGCUGGCGGCGUACUUAACACAUGCAAGUCGAACGGAAAGGCCCUGCUUUUGUGGGGUGCUCGCGUGGCGAACGGGUGAGUAACACGUGAGUAACCUGCCCUUGACUUUGGGAUAACUUCAGGAAACUGGGGCUAAUACCGGAUAGGAGCUCCUGCUGCAUGGUGGGGGUUGGAAAGUUUCGGCGGUUGGGGAUGGACUCGCGGCUUAUCAGCUUGUUGGUGGGGGAGUGGCUUACCAAGGCUUUGACGGGUAGCCGGCCUGAGAGGGUGACCGGCCACAUUGGGACUGCGGUACGGCGCAGAGUCGUACGGGAGGCAGCAGUGGGGAAUAUUGCACAAUGGGCGGAAGCCUGAUGCAGCAACGCCGCGUGCGGGAUGACGGCCUUCGGGUUGUAAACCGCUUUCGCCUGUGACGAAGCGGGAGUGACGGUAAUGGGUAAAGAAGCACCGGCUAACUACGUG
rnacentral:rRNA from 1 species